UCAGCAGCACAGCCUUUGGCCUAAAGCAAUGAGAAGCCUCUGAAAAGCUGAGGCAGUAGAUUGAAU
rnacentral:pre_miRNA from 1 species